GUUAUACUCCCUCCGUUCCGAAUUACUUGUCGCGGGUAUGAAUGUAUUUAGAUGUAUUUUAGUUCUAGAUACAUCCAUUUCUGCGAUAACUAAUUUGGAACGGAGGGAGUAGAAC
rfam:Triticum aestivum genome assembly, contig: Triticum_aestivum_CS42_TGACv1_scaffold_221268_3B